rnacentral:rRNA from 1 species
AAACCAACAGGGAUUGCCUUAGUAGCGGCGAGUGAAGCGGCAAGAGCUCAAAUUUGAAAUCUGGUACCUUCGGUGCCCGAGUUGUAAUUUGAAGAAAGCUAUCUUGGAGGUGGCCUUUGUCUAUGUUCCUUGGAACAGGACGUCAUGGAGGGUGAGAAUCCCGUGUGAUGAGGUGUCCAUUUCCGUGUAAGAUGCUUUCGAAGAGUCGAGUUGUUUGGGAAUGCAGCUCAAAGUGGGUGGUAAAUUCCAUCUAAAGCUAAAUAUUGGCGAGAGACCGAUAGCGAACAAGUACUGUGAAGGAAAGAUGAAAAGAACUUUGAAAAGAGAGUGAAAAAGUACGUGAAAUUGUUGAAAGGGAAGGGUAUUUGAUCAGACUUGGUAUUUAGCUAUCAUCGCUCCUUGUGGGUGGUGCUCUAGCUUUUUACUGGGCCAGCAUCAGUUUUGGUGGCAAGAUAAUGACAGUUGAAUGUGGCUCCUCGGAGUGUUAUAGCUUCUGUUGAUGUUGCCUACCGAGACUGAGGUCUGCGGCUUUUGCCUAGGAUGCUGGCGUAAUGACCCAAUACCGC